UACGUAUUGUUGGAACAACAAAUUCUGAUUUCUAUCAAAUCAGCGAUUUCGUAAAAGUAACAAGAAAAAAAUCGUAACAGCUGAGCUAUUGUCGUGCCAAAAUACUCAAUUCAAUAUCGGCGGGGAGAUGUUGAAGUUUUUGUUUACGUUUGGAACCGGGUUCUAUGCUGGUGCAUAUGCAGCGCAAAACUAUGAGAUUCCAAAAGUAGACGAUCCAUCACGUGUGUAUGCACGAAUUGUAGAGUUUUUGGAUCAAUACCGAAAGAAAUGAUUUGACGCCACCGUUGUCGCCGCCGCUGUCGUUGCUGCGAUAAGCCCAAACAAGAAGAAUGAUAUCAACUGUUUUAUAAGCAUCCAAUGUUUUUCUAAGGAAUUGUAGACUUAUGCCACUGUUGUUGCAACAAAUUGCAAUAAAAUUAGAGUUAAAUAAUCAAAAA